UGACAGGUAUGGGGCAUCAACCACCUCUCUAGGAAGCCUUCUCCAGUGUUCGACCACCCUAACAGUAAAGAAAUUCUUCCUGAUGUCCAGUCUGAAUUUCCCCUGGUGCAGCUUUGUGCAAUUCCUGCACAUCCUGUCGUUGGUUACCAAGAAGAUUUCAAGCUGGCCGUUUGUUGAGUCACACUAGCUAUAUCUGUGGUUUUUAUCCUGCUCAUGACUUUCAGGGAGCAUCCUAGUGAGAACAACUCAAGAUACUAGAUUAAAUUGAUAAAAUAUCUGAGGCGCAUCCUCCCUUUCACACUAACUUACCUUACAGCAGAAAAGUUUUGAGCUGUUUUCAAGAAAAUCCUGACCCCCUUCUCUUUGGUCCUAUACCAGUCACAACUUCAUAAAGGGGUGUUAGCGCUGCAGCAGAGAAGAUAGCUUUGGGGAAAAGGAGAUGAAUGAGUCUUACUAAAUCCACGAGCCAAGCUUCCCAUGUGGAGAUGCAUGACAAAUACAUGGGUUGCAGUUUUCCUGGAGCUAUAACAACAGCUGCCAAGCAGCUGGGCUGAGCAGGGAGGACCUCUGAUGUACCUUUUCAGCAAAUUGUCCAUUUAUUCUGAUUCUGCCCCGAGUUCAGGAUUUUGGCAAGAGGAACUAUGGAAAAGCUUUUAAACAGAAUGAAUGUAGAAGAAUAUGGGAAGCCUUGGAAAAUCCAGUGAUACCACAUACUAAUGGGCAAGUCUAGAUGAGCUGAAUCCUGUGUUGUAAUAGACUUGGCAGACAAAUUCUCUGAACCUCUGCCAGUUUUUAAAAAUUUGCAGACAACCGAGGUAAGAGGAAGACUUGAAAACUGCAGAAAUGGUAUAUUGAUAUUUGGAACAAUGUGGAACAGCCGUGCAGGGAGUUGGACAAGGAAAUGUUGGAGUGAGGAAAUUUUAGCCAAAUUGUGAAUGUUGUUUUUGAUUUCCUUAUACAAAAAUCAAAAGAAAAAUACUAACAAAUAUAUCAGAAAUGAAGGUAUCACAUCUAUGCAGGAAAGUGUGGUUUGUGCAUUGUAUUCCACAGAAUAGCCACAAUUAUAAUCCAAAUGUUUGUAUAAUUUCCCAUACACCUAUUUUUUCUAAACAAGAUGGAUUGAAUUUAGUAUUUGAUGGUAUAUUUAAUAUGUCUCUGAACACACAUGAAGAGGAAAAAAAGUAUUAUGUGGACAUGGAAGAAAAUGUCCAUCAAAUAAAGUAAUGAACCAUCCCUUGACUUUGUACAUUAAAAAGGGUGUGUGUGAGUGAAGAAUCACUGGAAUUUGAUUUUUCCAGAGAUUAUGAACAAGAAGGCCUAUUUUCCAAUAUGUAGUUGGUGUGGUAAAACACUCAGUUGAGUACUUUCAGCUGUGUCUAAGUGUACACAUUCAUUACGUCAAGCAGAAGUUGCAUCUCUAAAACUGUUCCCAAAAAGGGUUAUGAUACUCAGAAUAAUGAUAUGACAGCCCAAACGGGAAAGCAUCUUAAAAUUAAGAAUGUCUCUUUAUCAUUACGAGAAGGGCUAUAUAACAUCUACUUACAACUACAAGAGUUAGGCUUGGAUGCAUAUUGCUGAUAGCAACUGGUAGGUAGAUGGAGCCAUAGAUUCUUGGAUGCUGUUGUUUUUUGUUGUUGUAGGGUUGUUGCUUCUCAUUUAAUCCGGGUAAAAUGGGAAAAAUCUGGUAUGUAUAUUAUUACAGGAAAGUCUGUUAGCAAAAGCUUCUUCACAAUGGGAUCUGUUUAAUCCUUUGCAAAGCAAAUACCAGAGAGCUUCAACAACUGUUCUGACCACCCUGUCAAUUGUGACUGACAGUUACUUGGAUUCUAUUUCCUAGAUAGAUGCAUAUUUCUGAUCUGUGUAUUAAUCAUUUAUUUUCAGUGUUAAUACGGUUUGAAUAUUUCCAUGCUAUUGUUUGAAUAACUCACUUGAAUCCUGCAAAAUUUUCUCUUGCAGUUUACAGGCAUUUCUUUUAAAACAGGGAAAAGCUGCUUGUGUUUUAAAGUCUUCGUGCUGCUGUAUCAGGAGGUAUUCAGGUUUCUGUUCUCUUGUCCUAUACCUCAAGGCUCAAAUGACAAUUUAAAUUCUACAGGUUUUGGACUGGUCAUUGCUGAAGGCUCAGAAGAGCUAUGGAUGAAGCCUGAGCGUGACUGACAUGUUCAUAUUCAUCAGAAAACAGAGUCAGCAGGAGAGAAUGAGGCAGUAAUUGUUGCGUUGUUCCCUCCCUCACUGCUUGUGCAGAAAGACAUAGGCUGCGGGGAGGAAGCUACCUGAGGUUAUUAAGAUUAAUACUGCUAGAAAUUCCAAUCAACUCACACAAGGCUGUUCCUCAAGGCUGUCAGGUGCCUACUGCCUUCUCUGAUUCAGGCGGGGCCACAUCAAUUUUGAAUUUCCCAGCAGAGAUUGCUAUGAUUUAUGAGUUUAGGAGGCUGAUAAAUGUGGUUAGUUGAAGUGUUCAUGAAAUAAUUGAAUCAGAAUAAUUUCAGUCAGCUGUGCUCAAUUUAUUUUCUCCAGUAACCACAGGAGGGUGCAAUUUUGGAUUGGGAGCUCCAUCUCAAGGAUUCCUAUCACAGGAAAGACAUUGUGGAACCUGGAAUAAAAGCAACAUAUUUUUGCUGCCAGGCCUGUUUGACAGCCUUGUGAGCUAACUUAAGACCCAUCAGAACUGGAGAAGUGGAAUUGUAUCUUAAGAGUCUUUGGGAUUUUGAGUGAUACAAAACAUUUACUGAAGUUGACAGUGAUUGAGAAUGAAAGCUUUUUUGGGACCAAAGAUGGAUUAUAACCACUUUUCUAUUUAAGUAAGUUGAAUUAAGAGUCUUUUUUUAAUGUUGGCUUUUGCCAUGUAUGAAAACCCAGUUGUCCUCUUUUUAAAGAUAAAUAAACAAUAAAACAACACAAUUCAUUCAUCAGAAGCAAAACAUAAGGGGAAAAAAAAAAAGUGUUGCUUAUUGAAUACAAUUUUUGGAAGGCAGCUUGCUACUCAGACCAGAGGUGGGACCUAAAAAUAGCAUGGGAAUAUGGCUUUUGCAGCAGAGCAUGUUCUGGUCUGAUACUUCAGAAAAAUGUUGAGUAGCAAUUCUUUUACCUUAGGACUCUUGAGCUCUUCAGCAGGCGCGUUUGAAGAUGGGUGAAUGAUAGAAUGCAAUUAUUUUGGGAGUCUCUGGAGGUUACAUUCUCCCUGUCAUGUCUUCCGUGUAACUCAUUUUUCCCUACCUUUCUACUUUUAUCUCUCAAUAUUUUGAGAGAUACCGAAUACUGCUUACUUGUGAUGUACUCUUUGGUUGCUGCAAUACAAAAUAGCAUGCCAGACCUCCAUUGAAUUAAUCGAAUUGGACAUCUACGAUGAACUGUGGGGAAAAAAGUCUUGAGGCUUAAUAAGGAAUGGUAUUGUACCUCCCUGAUUCUUGGAAAUAUUUUCAGAACAAUUUUAAUGAAAUAAAGAAGCUUUGCUGAAGCA